rnacentral:rRNA from 1 species
CAAUAGCGUAUAUUAAAGUUGUUGCAGUUAAAAAGCUCGUAGUUGAACUUCAGACCUGGCCGGGCGGUCUACCUCGCGGUAUGUACUAUCUGGCCGGGUCUUACCUCUUGGUGAGCCGGUAUGCCCUUCACUGGGUGUGCCGGGGAACCAGGACCUUUACCUUGAGAAAAUUAGAGUGUUCAAAGCAGGCAUAUGCCCGAAUACAUUAGCAUGGAAUAAUAAAAUAGGACGUGCGGUUCUAUUUUGUUGGUUUCUAGAGUCGCCGUAAUGAUUAAUAGGGAUAGUUGGGGGCAUUCGUAUUCAGUUGCUAGAGGUGAAAUUCUUGGAUUUACUGAAGACGAACUAUUGCGAAAGCAUUUGCCAAGGAUGUUUNCAUUA